AAAGACAAGAAGACCCUAUCGAGCUUAAAAUAAAUUUCUUGAUGUAAUUUGAAAUAUUCCAUGAAAAGAUUUUAGUUGGGGCGACUAAGGAACAUAUAAAGCUUCCUUCAAAUAUAUAAACUUAUAUGUUUUGAUCCAAAAAAAUUGAUUAAUAGAAUUAGUUACCGUAGGGAUAACAGCAUAAUCUUUUUUAAGAGUUCUUAUCGAAAAAAAGGUUUGUGACCUCGAUGUUGGACUAGGAUAUCCGAAAGGUGCAGAAGCCUUUAACGGUUGGUCUGUUCGACCAUUAAUAUCCUACGUGAUCUGAGUU
rnacentral:rRNA from 1 species